GGGCUUGUAGCAUAAUUUAGUGUACCUAGUUUCGGCCUAGGGGGUGGGAGUCGCUUCUCCAAGCCUU
rnacentral:tRNA from 1 species